rnacentral:rRNA from 1 species
UCCGUAGGUGAACCUGCGGAAGGAUCAUUAUCGAAUGAAUGUAGAGUUGGUUGUCGCUGGCCUGCUUUCUGGCAUGUGCACGCCUUCUCUUUCAUCCACACACACCUGUGCACCUGUGAGACGGAGAGCUCGCCCUUUCGCGAGGGUGUUUUCUUCGUCUGCCAAUACACAAACUCAUAUAAUAAUUUGAAUGUAAUUGAUGUAACGCAUCUAUAAACUAAGUUUCAACAACGGAUCUCUUGGCUCUCGCAUCGAUGAAGAACGCAGCGAAAUGCGAUAAGUAAUGUGAAUUGCAGAAUUCAGUGAAUCAUCGAAUCUUUGAACGCACCUUGCGCUCCUUGGUAUUCCUUGGAGCAUGCCUGUUUGAGUAUCAUGAAAUUCUCAAAACAAACCUUUUGUUAAUUCAUUCGGUUCUGUUUUGGACUUGGAGGCCUUGCGGAUUCACGUCUGCUCCUCUUAAAAGCAUUAGCUGGAUCUCAGUGAGCUCGGUUCCACUCGGCGUGAUAAGUAUCACUCGGCUGGAGGGGGACACCCGGUAAAAAAGGGGUGGCCGGGGGAUUUGGCAGGAUGGAACCGGCUUCUAAUAGGUCCAUUGGAAUUGGGGGACAACAUACUUUAUGAUCUGAUCUCAAAUCAGGUAGGACUACCCGCUGAACUUAAGCAUAUCAAUAAGCGGA